ACGAACGCUGGCGGCACGCUUAACACAUGCAAGUCGAACGAGAGAAGAGAAGCUUGCUUUUCUGAUCUAGUGGCGGACGGGUGAGUAACACGUGAGCAAUCUGCCUUUCAGAGGGGGAUACCGAUUGGAAACGAUCGUUAAUACCGCAUAAUAUAAUUGAACCGCAUGAUUUGAUUAUCAAAGAUUUAUCGCUGAAAGAUGAGCUCGCGUCUGAUUAGCUAGUUGGUAAGGUAACGGCUUACCAAGGCGACGAUCAGUAGCCGGACUGAGAGGUUGAUCGGCCACAUUGGGACUGAGACACGGCCCAGACUCCUACGGGAGGCAGCAGUGGGGAAUAUUGCACAAUGGAGGAAACUCUGAUGCAGCGAUGCCGCGUGAGGGAAGAAGGUUUUAGGAUUGUAAACCUCUGUCUUCAGGGACGAAAAAAGACGGUACCUGAGGAGGAAGCUCCGGCUAACUACGUGCCAGCAGCCGCGGUAAUACGUAGGGAGCGAGCGUUGUCCGGAAUUACUGGGUGUAAAGGGAGCGUAGGCGGGAUCGCAAGUCAGAUGUGAAAACUAUGGGCUUAACCCAUAAACUGCAUUUGAAACUGUGGUUCUUGAGUGAAGUAGAGGUAAGCGGAAUUCCUAGUGUAGCGGUGAAAUGCGUAGAUAUUAGGAGGAACAUCAGUGGCGAAGGCGGCUUACUGGGCUUUAACUGACGCUGAGGCUCGAAAGCGUGGGGAGCAAACAGGAUUAGAUACCCUGGUAGUCCACGCCGUAAACGAUGAUUACUAGGUGUGGGGGGACUGACCCCUUCCGUGCCGCAGCAAACGCAAUAAGUAAUCCACCUGGGGAGUACGACCGCAAGGUUGAAACUCAAAGGAAUUGACGGGGGCCCGCACAAGCAGUGGAGUAUGUGGAUUAAUUCGAAGCAACGCGAAGAACCUUACCAAGGCUUGACAUAUACAGGAAUAUUUAAGAGAUUAAAUAGCUCUUCGGAGUCUGUAUACAGGUGGUGCAUGGUUGUCGUCAGCUCGUGUCGUGAGAUGUUGGGUUAAGUCCCGCAACGAGCGCAACCCUUACUGUUAGUUGCUACGCAAGAGCACUCUAGCAGGACUGCCGUUGACAAAACGGAGGAAGGUGGGGAUGACGUCAAAUCAUCAUGCCCCUUAUGACCUGGGCCUCACACGUACUACAAUGGCUGUAAACAGAGGGAUGCAAAGCCGCGAGGUGGAGCGAACCCCUAAAAGCAGUCUUAGUUCGGAUUGUAGGCUGCAACCCGCCUACAUGAAGUCGGAAUUGCUAGUAAUCGCAGAUCAGCAUGCUGCGGUGAAUACGUUCCCGGGCCUUGUACACACCGCCCGUCACGCCAUGGGAGUCGGUAACACCCGAAGCCUGUAGUCUAACCGCAAGGAGGACGCAGUCGAAGGUGGGAUUGAUGACUGGGGUG
rnacentral:rRNA from 1 species